UACGAAGGGGGCUAGCGUUGCUCGGAAUUACUGGGCGUAAAGCGCACGUAGGCGGCUUUCUAAGUCGGGGGUGAAAUCCUGGAGCUCAACUCCAGAACUGCCUUCGAUACUGGAGAGCUCGAGUCCGGGAGAGGUGAGUGGAACUGCGAGUGUAGAGGUGAAAUUCGUAGAUAUUCGCAAGAACACCAGUGGCGAAGGCGGCUCACUGGCCGGUACUGACGCUGAGGUGC
rnacentral:rRNA from 1 species